UGUACCAGACACCAUUUCCAGCUCUUUGACCUCGAACGAACUCUCAUUGAUUAAGAUUCAGUACGGGGUUCCUCCGGAGUAUGAGCUUGAGCUUCUUGGGCCAACUGACCGGGCUAGCACCCCUCCCCCUGACCACUUUUGCUUAUACCAGGAAGCCUUCCGCGUCGGGCUUCGACUUCCACUUCCACCUUUUGUUGUUGCUCUUUUUCGCUUUUUAAACAUUUCUCUAGUUUCUGUAGUGCCAAACUCCUUUAGGUUUCUGAUAGGAUUUCUUUCC
rnacentral:lncRNA from 1 species